GACGAACGCUGGCGGCGUGCUUUACACAUACAAGUCGAGCGAUGAGAUCCCUUCGGGGAAGGAUUAGCGGCGAACGGGUGAGGAACACGUGAGGAAUCUGCCUUCAACACUGGGAUAACUCCGGGAAACCGGGGCUAAUACCGGAUACGAGACCUGCAGGCAUCUGCGGGUCUGGAAAGUUUUUCGGUUGAAGAUGACCUCGCGGCCUAUCAGCUUGUUGGUGAGGUAAUGGCUCACCAAGGCGACGACGGGUAGCCGGCCUGGGAGGGCGACCGGCCACACUGGGACUGAGACACGGCCCAGACUCCUACGGGAGGCAGCAGUGGGGAAUAUUGGGCAAUGGAGGGAACUCUGACCCAGCGACGCCGCGUGCGGGAUGAAGGCCUUCGGGUUGUAAACCGCUUUCAGCAAGGAAGAAGCGAAAGUGACGGUACUUGCAGAAGAAGCACCGGCUAACUAUGUGCCAGCAGCCGCGGUAAUACAUAGGGUGCAAGCGUUGUCCGGAAUUAUUGGGCGUAAAGAGCUCGUAGGUGGUUCGUCACGUCGGAUGUGAAAAUCUGGGGCUUAACCCCAGACCUGCAUUCGAUACGGGCGAGCUAGAGUGUGGUAGGGGAGACUGGAAUUCCUGGUGUAGCGGUGGAAUGCGCAGAUAUCAGGAGGAACACCAAUGGCGAAGGCAGGUCUCUGGGCCAUUACUGACACUGAGGAGCGAAAGCGUGGGGAGCGAACAGGAUUAGAUACCCUGGUAGUCCACGCCGUAAACGGUGGGCACUAGUUGUGGGAACCUUCCACGGUUUCUGCGACGCAGCUAACGCAUUAAGUGCCCCGCCUGGGGAGUACGAUCGCGGGAUUA
rnacentral:rRNA from 1 species